rnacentral:rRNA from 1 species
UACGAAGGGUGCAAGCGUUGUCCGGAAUUAUUGGGCGUAAAGGGUACGCAGGCGGAUAGUAAAGUCAAGCGUGAAAGGUGUCGGCUUAACUGACAGACUGCGUUUGAAACUGAUUAUCUUGAGUGUAACAGAGGAGAGUGGAAUUCCUAGUGUAGUGGUGAAAUACGUAGAUAUUAGGAAGAACACCAGUGGCGAAGGCGACUCUCUGGGUUAACACUGACGCUGAGGUACGAAAGCUGGGGGAGCGAACGGG